rnacentral:rRNA from 1 species
UUUGCCUACGGGGCGCAGCAGUCGGGAAUAUUGCGCAAUGGAGGAAACUCUGACGCAGUGACGCCGCGUAUGGGAAGAAGGUUUUCGGAUUGUAAACGAUUGUCGUUAGGGAAGAAGAAGUGACAGUACCUAAGGAGGAAGCUCCGGCUAACUAUGUGCCAGCAGCCGCGGUAAUACAUAGGGAGCGAGCGUUAUCCGGAUUUAUUGGGUGUAAAGGGUGCGCAGGCGGUCUGUUAAGUCAGCGGUCA